UCGUGAAAUAUAGUAAGGUACAAUGUAUGAGUAACGAAAGCUCAAGCUGUACUUCCAUUUAUGUUGGAGAUGAUUGAGAACACGUGGAUUAUAUUUGGUUUUUGGUUUGGUUCAGGUUUCAUUGCUGAAGGUCGAAUGAGAUGUGGAGAUCAUCGAUUUAUGACGGUGUAGAUGAUGAUAUUAAAAUAUAAUUUUAGAUCUGAUUUAUCUUCUUUGAUAUCUGCUAGAGAAUGGCGGAUGAGAAAAGUUUUUUAUUUCAAAUUUAAAUUUUUGUAGAAAUAAUAAAAAUCGUGUCUUAUAGUUUCCGGUAAAGUCAAUGAAGAGUACAAACGACGAGUCAAGAUUAGCUUGAAAAGGUUAUCUGCCCCGUCAAAUUUCUCAACUCUAGCAAAAUUCACAUGAAGCUUGGAUGGAUCGCAUUUCCAACGCCUUUGUGUGGUUGCGGUCAG